rnacentral:lncRNA from 1 species
CAGCUAAUUGUAUUACCCAUCAGAAAAUAUUAAAUGCUCUAUAUUUUACAACUAUGGGAGCACAGAAACGUAUAACUUGAAAAACUAGAGAAGGCUUUAGAGAGCAUGGGGACAUAGGAGUCGGGAUUUAAAAGAUCAGUAGGAGCUCAUCAGGCAGAGAAAUGGGGAAGAGCAUUUCACACAUGGAACAGUGUGGGGUGUAAAAGUAUGUGGAUGGUAAGGAUGGAGUAGAAGCCUCCUGGGGAGUGGGAAGGGAUGUGGCUGGAAAGGGAGGCUGAGGCCAGAUGGGGAAUGGGGCUUCAAUUCUAGGCCUAAGAGUGUAGAUUUUCUCCUGUAGGUAAUGGGGAGCUAUUGAAUGUUUUUGAGCUGAGGCAUGCCAUGAUUGGGAUCUUUCCACCCUUGUAAGAAGUUUAAAUUCCUACUGAGGGACUAAGAGGAUUCUCCUUUUUCUGCCUGCCUAUCUCCGUGACUGACACCCAGCCAGCCUUUUCCCUCAGCUCCACUUACACGCCUUGCUCCUUUGCCCCAAACCUCCAAUUCUUUGUUCCAAGCAUCCCAAACCUCCAAUUCCUUGUUCCAAGCAGGGUGACAGGGUGGGGGGCUUCACUCUCCCUCAGCCCCCACUCCAACCCUGCAUGUCCCAGACACUCUCUGGGUCCUUCCACCUCCGUCACACAACCAGGGCCAGCCAGGGGGACAGUAGGAAGUUGUGUGUGCUUGCUUCACGGAUCUUUUGGUUUUAAGUCCCCCUGACCCAGGCUUCUCCCUUCACUGAUGCCUUCCCCCAGCUGAGGAGCUUCUGGAAGCUGGGAUUCUGGGGAGCCCUUUCUCUAAUUCACUCAGCUGUGGCUUAUCCACCCCUUUCUCAAAGAAAGGCUCUGGGCUGAGGACCCUGUGGCAUGAAAAGGAUAUAGUUCUUGCCCUCAAGGAUCCAACCAGUAGAGGAGAUAAGAAAACAAGCCCAUGGAAGCAGAGCAUGAGGCAAUAAGUGCUGAGGAAGUUCAGAGAAGCACGCCAGUGAUGUGCUGAUAAGAGAAGCCUUUGCAGAGAAAGCCGCCUAUGUGCCAGCCAGGAGCUUGAAGGAUAAUGUGCUUUCUGGAGGCAAGAAUGGCUGGCAGGGGUGGAAAUGAUUUCAGCAAAGGUAGGAAGGUUGGACACGUUUGGCGAACAUUAAGUCUGUUGGGCUGAGCUGGGCUGUAGGGUUUUUACGAGGACCAGCGGGAGACAAGACUGCAUAGGUGAAGUAGGAGGGUCCUGGAUGGCACAGUUAGCACUGUGGAGUCACUGGACGUGUUGGAGAUGGGAAGUGCCAAGAUGGAGUGGCAUUUUAGGAUGCUUAGACCAGGCAUCAUGUCUCAUGCCUGUAAUCCCAGCACUUUGGGAGGCUGAGGCAGGCGGAUCACUUGAGGCCAGGAGUUCGAGAUGAGCCCGGUCAACAUGGUGAAACUCCGUCUUUACUAAAAAUACAAAAAUUAGCCAGGCAUGGUGGCGGGUGCCUGUAAUCCAGUUACUCAGGAGGUUGAGGCAUGAGAAUCGCUCGAACCUGGGAGGCGGAGAUUGCAGUGAGCCAAGAUGGUGCCACUGCACUCCAG